rnacentral:ncRNA from 1 species
UGCCGGGUCAAUAGCUCCUAAUACAAUACCCGUGAGGGAAAUAAGAGCAGCGCUUCCAAUGAGCGUAGUUGAGUCCCGGCAUUUCUCAU